rnacentral:rRNA from 1 species
AGAGUUUGAUCCUGGCUCAGGAUGAACGCUAGCUACAGGCUUAACACAUGCAAGUCGAGGGGCAGCAUAAUGUCUAGCAAUAGAUGUUGAUGGCGACCGGCGCACGGGUGAGUAACACGUAUCCAACCUGGCCCAUACUAGGGAAUAGCCUGCCGAAAGGCAGAUUAAUGCCCUAUGUUGUGUAUUGAUGGCAUCAGAUUUGCACCAAAGAUUUAUCGGUAUGGGAUGGGGAUGCGUCCGAUUAGCUUGACGGCGGGGUAACGGCCCACCGUGGCUACGAUCGGUAGGGGUUCUGAGAGGAAGGUCCCCCACACUGGAACUGAGACACGGUCCAGACUCCUACGGGAGGCAGCAGUGAGGAAUAUUGGUCAAUGGGCGUAAGCCUGAACCAGCCAAGUAGCGUGAGGGAUGACUGCCCUAUGGGUUGUAAACCUCUUUUAUAAGGGAAUAACUGACGAUACGUGUAUUGUUUUGCAUGUACCUUAUGAAUAAUGACCGGCUAAUUCCGUGCCAGCAGCCGCGGUAAUACGGAAGGUCAGGGCGUUAUCCGGAUUUAUUGGGUUUAAAGGGAGCGUAGGCGGUUGGUUAAGCGUGUUGUGAAAUGUCCCGGCCCAACCGGGGAUGUGCAACGCGAACUGGCUGACUUGAGUGCGUACGAGGUAUGCGGAAUUCGUCGUGUAGCGGUGAAAUGCUUAGAUAUGACGAAGAACUCCGAUUGCGAAGGCAGCAUGCCAGGCCGCUACUGACGCUGAAGCUCGAAGGUGCGGGUAUCGAACAGGAUUAGAUACCCUGGUAGUCCGCACGGUAAACGAUGGAUGCCCGCUGUUUGCGAUAUACUGUGAGCGGCCAAGCGAAAGCGUUAAGCAUCCCACCCUGGGGAGUACGCCGGCAACGGUGAAAACUCAAAGGAAUCGACGGGGGCCCGCACAAGCGGAGGAACAUGUGGUUUAAUUCGAUGAUACGCGAGGAACCUUACCCGGGCUUGAAUUGCAGAGGAACAAUCCAGAGAUGGUGCGGCCCUUCGGGGCCUCUGUGAAGGUGCUGCAUGGUUGUCGUCAGCUCGUGCCGUGAGGUGUCGGCUUAAGUGCCAUAACGAGCGCAACCCCUGUUGCCAGUUGCCAUCCUUUAGUUGGGCACUCUGGCGAGACUGCCACCGUAAGGUGUGAGGAAGGUGGGGAUGACGUCAAAUCAGCACGGCCCUUACGUCCGGGGCUACACACGUGUUACAAUGGGUGAUACAGAGAGUCGUGCAUGCGCAAGUAUGUUCCAAUCUUUAAAGUCAUCCUCAGUUCGGACUGGGGUCUGCAACCCGACCCCACGAAGCUGGAUUCGCUAGUAAUCGCGCAUCAGCCAUGGCGCGGUGAAUACGUUAACCGGGCCUUGUACUCACCGCCCGUCAAG